rnacentral:lncRNA from 1 species
CGGCAGCGCCCAAGCGCAGGGGCUCCUCGGGCUCCGUAGAUGAGACCCUUUUUGCUCUUCCUGCUGCAUCUGAGCCUGUGAUACACUCCUCUGCAGGCAAGUUCUUUCUGCUAGCCUUUUAUCCUCUGAAUAUUCUAACUUUAACUCCUUACUGAGUAGUUUGG